rnacentral:Y_RNA from 1 species
GGCUGGUCUGAUGGGAGUGGGUUAUCAGAACUUAUUAACAUCAGUGUCACUAAAGUUGGUAUACAACCCCCGACUGCUAAAUCUGACUGGUUAAAA